rnacentral:rRNA from 1 species
UACGAAGGGGGCUAGCGUUGCUCGGAAUCACUGGGCGUAAAGCGCACGUAGGCGGAUCGUUAAGUCAGGGGGUGAAAUCCUGGAGCUCAACUCCAGAACUGCCUUUGAUACUGGCGACCUUGAGUUCGGGAGAGGUGAGUGGAACUGCGAGUGUAGAGGUGAAAUUCGUAGAUAUUCGCAAGAACACCAGUGGCGAAGGCGGCUCACUGGCCCGAUACUGACGCUGAGGUGCGAAAGCGUGGGGAGCAAACAGG